rnacentral:rRNA from 1 species
CCUACGGGAGGCAGCAGUGAGGAAUAUUGGUCAAUGGGCGAGAGUCUGAACCAGCCAAGUAGCGUGAAGGAUGACUGCCCUAUGGGUUGUAAACUUCUUUUAUAAAGGAAUAAAACGAGGCACGUGUGCCUUUUUGCAUGUACUUUAUGAAUAAGGAUCGGCUAACUCCGUGCCAGCAGCCGCGGUAAUACGGAGGAUCCGAGCGUUAUCCGGAUUUAUUGGGUUUAAAGGGAGCGUAGAUGGGUUGUUAAGUCAGUUGUGAAAGUUUGCGGCUCAACCGUAAAAUUGCAAUUGAUACUGGCAGUCUUGAGUACAGUUGAGGUAGGCGGAAUUCGUGGUGUAGCAGUGAAAUGCUUAGAUAUCACGAAGAACCCCGAUUGCGAAGGCAGCUUACUAAACUGUGACUGACAUUGAUGCUCGAAAGUGUGGGUAUCAAACAGGAUUAGAUACCCGGGUAGUC